GUCAACGACCCAUGGCUAAAGCUGAUGGGCUUCUAGCUCGCAGUUGAGCCGACUAAGUACUUUGCGUACUACGUUAUUGGCGAGAGUUAAAGACCUACCAGGGAAUGCGUAGCCAGUUCCCUGCUCUAGAACUGAAAGAUUAAACAGGUUUAUUUGGUUAAGCCAGUAUCUUUCGGAUAGUACCGACCAAUAACAUUGUCAAGGCUAACAUUAC
rfam:Mastigocladus laminosus TT774 scaffold_11, whole genome shotgun sequence.